GCCAGACUCCUACGGGAGGCAGCAGUGAGGAAUAUUGGUCAAUGGUCGGGAGACUGAACCAGCCAAGCCGCGUGAGGGAUGAAGGUACAGAGUAUCGUAAACCUCUUUUGUCAGGGAACAAAGGCGGGGACGCGUCCCCGGAUGAGUGUACCUGAAGAAAAAGCAUCGGCUAACUCCGUGCCAGCAGCCGCGGUAAUACGGAGGAUGCGAGCGUUAUCCGGAUUUAUUGGGUUUAAAGGGUGCGUAGGCGGACGCUUAAGUCAGCGGUAAAAUUGCGGGGCUCAACCUCGUCGAGCCGUUGAAACUGGGUGCCUUGAGUGGGCGAGAAGUACGCGGAAUGCGUGGUGUAGCGGUGAAAUGCAUAGAUAUCACGCAGAACUCCGAUUGCGAAGGCAGCUUACUAAACUAUAACUGACACUGAAGCACGAAAGCGUGGGGAUCAAACAGGAUUAGAUACCCGUGUAGC
rnacentral:rRNA from 1 species